GCGCUCGGUGGUCCCCUUGAUCUGUCUCUUGCUUCAACAGUGUUUGGAUGGAACAGACCCAGGGAUGCCCUUUGCUCCAGCCUCUGACCACCCUCCAACCCUUUUUCCAGUCGCAACCUUCAGAGUCAGCCACUCAGCUAUCCUUGGUCACCGGGACCAGCCAACACCAUUUUUUGAGCUUAACUCCUUAUUACCGAUCAACCAUGAGCUCCCAGAUUCAUCAGAAUUAUUCCACCGAGGUGUAGGCCACCGACAACCACCUGGUCAACAUGCGUCUGCAGGCCUCCUACACCUACCUCUCUCUGGGCUUCUAUUUUGACCUCGACGAUGUGGCUCUGGAGGGCGUGGGCCACUUUUCCCGCGAAUUGACCAAAGAGAGGCGUGAGGGUGCCGAGUGUCUCUUGAAAAGGCAAAACCAGCACAGUGGCCGUGCCGUCUUCCAGAACGUGCAGAAGCCAUCUCAGGAUGAGUGGGGUAAAACCCAGGAUGCUAUGGAAGCCGCCAUUAACAUGAAGAAGAACCUGAACCAGGCCCAUUUGGAUCUGCAUGCCCUGGGUUCUGCCCGCGCAAACCCACACUUCUGCAACUUCCUGGAGAGCCACUUGCCAGAUGAGGAGGUGAAACUCAUCAAGAAGAUAGGUGACCACCUGACCAACUUCUGCAGGCUGGCUGGUCCCCAGGCUGGGCUGGGCGAGUAUCUCUUCGAAAGGCUUACCGUCAAGUAUGACUAGGAGCCUCUGGAGCCCAGUGGCCUUUGAGGAGCCCCUUUGGUGUCAGGGCUUCUGCCUGAAGCCCGUCUCUGCAGCCACCAGGCAGUUUUUAACCACCCUGGAGCCCUCUCCCAAGCCUUGGACCAAAUGGAAACAAUAAAGCUUUUUGCAGCAG